rnacentral:rRNA from 1 species
UACGUAGGGGGCUAGCGUUGUUCGGAAUUACUGGGCGUAAAGCGCGCGCAGGCGGUCUUCCAAGUCAGUGGUGAAAGCCCGGAGCUCAACUCCGGAACUGCCAUUGAAACUGUAAGACUUGAGGAUGAGAGAGGUGAGUGGAAUUCCCAGUGUAGAGGUGAAAUUCGUAGAUAUUGGGAAGAACACCGGUGGCGAAGGCGGCUCACUGGCUCAUUACUGACGCUCAGGCGCGACAGCGUGGGGAUCAAACAGG